rnacentral:lncRNA from 1 species
AGAGGAUGAGACAGCUGCAGCUGAGAUUGGAAGCUGACUGUGCACAGGGUGCACUGUCAUUUCUUCUGCAAAGCACCGUAGUAUUCCUGUUUGAUCUGAGCCUGGGGUCACUGUGUCAGGACUGCCGGUGAAGAAGAGAAAGUAACUCACAAAGAAAAAUGACACGUUCUCCAGGAUCACACAGGUGGUAUCCAGUGCACACAUCUGAAGAUUCCUCUCCUGCCAGCCCUUAGAGUGAAUCUGUGAAUGUGGCUGUUCUGAGAUUACCACCAUAUCAAGCUUGGGCAUCCUUUCUUACACUCAGCUCUGUUUCUAGCUCAUCUUGCCUCUCACAGUGCAACUAAGAGCAAGCUCCGUACGCUGCUUUCACCGUACCUUAAGGAAACCCUCCACGGCCCUGUCUAUCUUCCUGCUGAAGUUGACUAAGGUCAGCCACAGUGGGGAAUGAGAUCUGCUUCUUCCUCCACUCGUGUGCACCUUAGCUUUGCAGCCCCCCUCCCCUGCUGCCUUCUUUGGGUGCUCGGUAGAAUGCCGACUCCAGUUGACCCCUUGAUCACCGAGACGUCCCCACUCAUAGACUGAUGCUCUGUUUAUCAUAAGGGGUCACUAAAUAUUUGCUAAAUGAGUGGAUGAAAUUAUUUCACCAAGGAUACACUGAAAGACUUAAAUCUCCUUCCACAUUUCCUAAAAAUGUUCUUCUUUUUUGUUAAUGAGAAACUUCUGAAUAAGGAUUCUUAUGAUUUGUUAUAUUUUAUGCUUCUUUUUUAACUUAUGUAUUUAUUUGCUAUGUUGAGGGUUGAACCCAUUGCCUCCAGCUUGCUAGGCAAAUCCUCUUCCAUGGAACAACGUCCCCAUGCCCAAAACUUGCUAUGUUUUAAAGUUGCCAUCUGUCAAGUCAGGGUUUUAAAUGUCUAUGAAGCAAUUGCAUUUAACUCUGCUAUUCAAAGAUAAUAACAGAAUUUAUAGAAAUUUAAUUCUUAGUGUUGGGACACCAACUUAACAUAGGGUGGCAAAUGACUCUUUGCUCUGGCCAGUUGAUGCCUAGCUGAGACAAAAGUAUUAAGGUGUCAGAGGCUCCUCCCGCAUGGGACCCAGAGACUGAGGCUCUGCUAUCUGCUGCAAGCUGUAAGACACUACAUGCUUGCAUUCCCUUCCUUUCUAUCAAGGUACUCACCAUACGCCCAACCUGGCCUUCAAGGAUUCAACCCAGUCCUCCCCUCCCAUGCUUUCAUAGGACUCCCUAGGCACAACAUUUUUCUCAUUGGUGAAGCUUCUCAUAACAAUUUAACAUGUUAAGAUAUGAUUUGUCCUAUGCAUGUUUGGUGUACUGGUCUUCACUGGUUUAUGAGAGAAGGGUCCAUCAUCCUUCUCUCUGAGCUCAGUCUGCCUCCUGCUUUGUAGCACUGAAUGCCCACAGAUGCUCACAACGUACUUUCUUGAAUAAAUAAACAGCUCUGUCAAUGCAGGUAGACAUAACAGAUGGCUGGCGUGUUGGCAUGAGGCAUGAGGCUGCCUGGCCCGUUAGCGAAGCGGGCGAGAGGGGCAGUUCGCAUCUGUUGGAGGGCUAGCAGGGGAAGGCCGCAGAUACGGAGGUAGGCAGGGCUGAGGAAGGCUGUAGAUAUGGAGAUAGGUGGGGCUGGAGAUUGGGGUGGUAUGGGUACAUUGCUGGGAUUCAUAGCAACUCUGCCUCUUGUUUCUCAUCCCAGGCAACUAGAGGUGUUUUUUUCCUAUAUCACAGCUCGGUAUUAAGACCAAAGGAGAAAUGAACUUUGAAGUGGUGGCCCCAUUGUUGUAGAUAGCAAUAUUGUUCUACAUAACUUGUUUGUGGUUCGUGUUGCUCACAUGAACAUUCGGACGCACAUCUGCCACGGACCCGUAAUGAGUUAUAAACUGAGAAACCUGAGCGUCAUACCUUUUCCUAUUCCUCAUAUUUCCAAGGCUGGAGUUCUCAGACUAUUGGACACAGCUGGGCAAUCAAGAGGACUUGAAAAAGAACACUAAUCUAUUUGAUAAGAGCUCCACCCCACGGCCUGACCACCUCCCAAGGGCUCUCCGACGGGUGACAUUUCAUCUCAUGGAAGGAACUCGAACUUUCAGUCACUGUGACUCUUCUGGUUGUUGUCCCCUGGUUUGUUAGACUCUUGUCAUCAGCACCGAGCUUACCGGUGUGACUUUACGAAGUGACAUGCCAUGACUAGACAGAAGCUUCCAGUGAGUGCACGGAUUUUUCUUCUAUAAAAAAUGGAAUAUCUCAAACAGCAAGCAGGUCCUCGGUCCUCAGUGGAAACCAUCAGGGCAAGUGUACAAUGACCUAGGUUCUAACUUCCUCAUUUGCACUGGCUUGUCUUAAAGGGAAAAGCCACAUCCCUGGACUCGCUGAGGUGGUCUGUCAGAUGCGAUAACCUGGCUAGGAGCGGGAAACACAAGUUUCAACUGAAAUCUGCUCCAGAUUUUAAUCAUGGUCAUGGGCCCUUUUCUGGGGCUAUUUCACUACAGAUACCUGUUAAAAUUUAUUCCAGUUUAAGGAAGUUUCUGUAUCUAUAGUCAAGGAAAUUCUGGAAUCUUUCUUAUAAGUGAGUAUCAGUAAUGUCACUUGCAGAACAGGGCUGCCAGGAGCCUCAGCUUCUUGCUCAUUGCUGUCUUCACAGGGCUAAGGUUAAUCCUCAGCCGUGGCCAGCCUUCUAGGUAAUGGCGUUUUUAUAGGAUCUUGAAAGAUGACUCUUUAAAAUUAUUUUAUUUCCUCUAACUUAAGGUACAGUGCUCUUGCCCAGAAGGAAACAGUCAUUUCCUAGGAAAAGGGAAACCACACUUCCUGGGGAUGUGACAGCCUCUUUGUCUACCAGCUACUCCUUUGACUGUAAGGGCAGAAAACGAAAAGCAGGUGCCAUCUGAAGGGAAUGAUCCAGGCUAUGGCUCGCAGUAGGCAGAGCUCAGGCUGAGAAGCAAAGCCCAGGCUGGCUUCCAGCCAGGUGACCCUGUCACUCAUUCCUCUAGGUUUGGAUUUCCCCAUAUGUGCCAAUAAAGGAUCUGCAAAC